GUGAACGCCCUCACGGGCUUAUACUAUCCCAAACCUCUGUGAACCGUGCCCUUCGGGGCUAUUUUACAAACAUGGUGUAAUGAACGUCAUAUAUCAUAACAAAACA
rnacentral:misc_RNA from 1 species